ACGUAGGAAGCAAGCGUUAUCCGGAUUUACUGGGCGUAAAGCGGGUGUAGGCGGCCUGUCAAGUCCGGUGUGAAAUCUCCCGGCUUAACUGGGAGGGUGCACUGGAUACUGAUAGACUUGAGUGCAGCAGAGGAAAGCGGAAUUCCGGGUGUAGGAGUGAAAUCCGUAGAUAUCCGGAGGAACACCAGUGGCGAAGGCGGCCACCUGGACGACAACCGACGCUGAGGAGCGAAAGCGUGGGGAGCAAACAG
rnacentral:rRNA from 1 species